rnacentral:lncRNA from 1 species
CUUGGUCUCGUCCACCAGCCGCUUCAGCCCCGGGGUCUCCUCCUGGUUAUGCUCGCUCUGGAACUUGGUGUUCUCCCUGAUGCCGGUGAGCCGGCUCGCGAACUGCGCGCCUUCCUGGACGGCGACGCCGGGGUCAUCCUUGUUCUCGCUACCGAUCUGCUGCCAGCCGUCGUCGAUGAUGAGGAACCGCGGCGGCGCGCCGCCCUCGGCCAGGCUGCGGAGCCCCUGCUUGACGCCGUCGGCCGUCACGUCCGUGUAGAAGGCGUCCCACGUGCACCACCCAAACCAGUCCACAAACGACGGCACCUGCAUAAAUACAUACGCCAAUUCACCGGCACACGAACCAAUCAGACUUGUACUAACCAAAAUCGCAUCGAACAUGAUAGAAAGAAAUUGUACUACUACUACCGACCGUUUUCUUCUCCCUGUGGUGAAACGUCUGCGUGUGCUUCUCGACAGCCCUGCAUUCCACACAAGCAACAUUCAGCGUCGAGAUUUCGAAUUUGGUCGAGCAAGAGAUGGAAGAAGAAGAAGAAGAGGAGAAGGUGGAUUUACUUGACGGCCUGGGUGAUGGUGUCGAAGGGGUUGGUGCCGGCGUGGACGUACACAUUGUUCAUGCCCUGCUCCGUCUCAACCGCCUUGUCCCCUGCUCUCACACGCGCGCACACAACUGAAUUCAGCACUGAUCCAAGUGCAAAACACAACCACACAUUAAUCUGGUAAAAAAGAGCUCGUUUAUUACCGCUCUCGAUGCAGAUCUGGAGCUCGUCUUGGUCGUUGCCCUGGAGCACCGUGCGGAACUGCCCCUCCAGCAGCGGCAGCAUCACCAGGUACACGGGCUCGCUGUCGCCGUCCGAGGAGUCGCCGUCGUCGUUGCCGGCGGCGGCAGGGACCUCGAUGAGGAUGAACUGGGUCUCCAGCGGGACGUCGCGGCCGGAGGUGCCCAUCCGCUGCGUCAUCCACCACAGCUUGAACCGGAACAGACACAUGAAUCGGCAAUCUCUGCAUCAACAGCAAUUCCGGUGAAAUGUAAUUAAGCCGAGUCGAAAAGUUAUGCCUUUUUUCAGGGUAAACGACUACAGUACUCUCCUUCACAAAUGUGAGUUUAAAAAAAAACUAGUAACAAAAUUCCUAAAAAACUGGAGUGCGAUCUUUUUAAAGAAAUAAUUUACUACUCAUACUGAUGAAAAUUGAGAAACAAUUCAGAAACCAACUUCCUAAAAUCUGAUACCAAUAGGAAAAAAGAGAAGAGGAGAAAAAAACUCAGAAAUCCAUGGUGCAUUCUAGACUUUGCCCAGGUGUUGAUCCACCUUCCCAACAUUUAUCCACCGCUAUCUCUUUUCCUCAAAAACAGAGCUCACGACGUACCGGAGAGUCCCGAAGGUGAAGACGUGGUGGCUCUUGGCCUCGGCGGCCGUGGCGCCGACGAAGGCCCCGUCGACAAGCCCGGCCCCGGCAGCGUGCGCCGCGGUGACGUUGUCCGGCACGCCGGACAGCACCGUCCGGCCGCGCACCGCCAGCCUCCCGUCGCCCACCGUGAUCUGCGGCGUCACCGUCAUCUCCGACCACCCCUUCUGCAACACGAGAACGGCCUUAGCGCAUCCAGGCGAAGGACCAGAACAAAAUUCAGAUGAAUCGGAGGACGCGUACCUAGCUUCGAUACGGCCGGAGCUAGCAAGUAGCGAGCGAUUGAUAGAUAACGGACGAUGGUAGUAUAUGAUAGAGUGAUCGAUAGAGAGUGCUUUGCGUGCCGGUAACUGGAACCAGUACUAAUCUAAUGAUAUAAGAUGGUGCGGUGCCCUCGCCGGAGAGGGGGAUGAAGGGAGGGAGGGAGGCGAUGGGGAGAGGAAGGGUUUAUAUAGUCGUGGGGAGGGCGAGACGUGGCCGGUGACACGACACACGCGGCCCAUUUUCAUUCGGGAAGAAGCCGAUCAAUCGCUGGAGAAUUCACAUGUUUCUUCGACUCGGUUUCUUUGUGUGGAAGACUGCACGGUAUGGUGUCCAGCUGCUAUGCUGCUGUGGAGGAUCUGAUGCGUCCCAGUUCGAUGUAUUCCUUUCUUGGAAGAAAGUUAAUACAGUACCACUUGGGUAAACUAUGCUACGCCUGGAUUGUUGCUUGUGUAUUCCCUGUUGCCGGCCGAGCGGGACAAAUGACAACAUGCAGCCUUGGUCUGGGAUUUCGUCUAGAAAAACUCUUGGCCUCGGAACAUUAUCCCUCUAUUGGCUCCCGACGUCCAUAUAUUUUUUGCGCUGCUCGAGCAUUUCAUUUUUCGUGUUCCAAAAUUUUCACCCAAGAUUGGUGCAAUCAUGCGACGGCGGAGGACGCCCCACGGCGAGCACAAAAGGUCACCACAAAUGUUUAUGUUUUUCCUCAGCAGAAAACGAGAGACUGUUUAUGUUUAUCUUUAACUUUUUUUCAUCGUCUGUGCAUUUUGGUGGGGACACAUAUAUUAACAUACUAGACAAUUUCUCGCGAGUUAUUGUGAUAAUCGUUUGCAAUAUGUUUAGAUGAUACUUACUUAUGUUAAAUAUAAAAAUUGUAAUUAACAAUAUGAGUAUGAAAAUAUAAAUAUAUGAGAUUUAUUAAUUACUUGACUAGUUUAGUGAUGCAAAUAGUUUUGGAACAAAAGUAACAUAAUGUGUGUUUAAAAUUCCUUGAACUUGUCCACAUGGGUGUUUUAUUUAUUGAGGAAAAAAUGGACAUGAGUAGUUAUAAUUUUGUUAAAAAAUGUGUAAUGAAAAAAAAGCAUGAACUUAAAAAUCAAUAAAAGAAAGUGCCUAAAACUAGAAUAGAAACUUACGAGCUACAGUUAAAAAUGUCAUUUGAACAAAAAUGUGAAGGAUGACUAACAUAAAUAUAUGAUGUUGCAGCAUUACAUGCAUAGACUAAUGCAAAAUUAAUUACAAUUUACAAGUUAAAUGCAUGACUCGCUUAUGUGGCAGAUUUUGCAUGACUUAGUGAAAGAAAAGACUUAAAUGCACUGCUUAGUGGACCAUUGAGGUGGACACUUUGCAUGUUGAGAACGCUUAUGUGGCAGAUUUUGCAUGGCUUAGUAGGGGAGAAGAUUUAAAUACCCCUAGUGGGACAUAAGAUGGACACUUUGUAUGUUAAAGAAUUAAAACUAACACCUUAAGAAUGUAAGAUUUAUAUAUUAAUUUUUGGACGUUCUCCUUACAUUUCAGUGUAGCUAUGUGUAUGACAUAUUUUCAUGAAUAAAUAAACUAUAUGAUGGUCCCAUGGUAUAUACUCCCUCCGUUCAAAAAUACUUGUUGGAGGAAUAGAUGUAUGUAGAUAUAUUUUAGUUCUAGAACAUCCACUCUUAUCCAUUUUUGCGAGAAAUAAUUUCAGAUGGAGGCAAUAAUAAUUAUCAUUGUGAUGUUUUGGUAAAUAUCAUGAAAAGGUUAGUAAAAAAUUACCAAAAAAUAAAAUUCAUGUGGUAAACCCUAAAAGAGGUUCUCACCUGCUACAAUGAUGUUUUUUUGUUUCUUAAAAAAGGAGGUCUUUACUCGUUUUACCAUUUUGAAAAAAGCAAUCGCUACAUUUUGUUGCGAAUGAGUCGCGGCUCUGUAUUAACCAAACAUCAACAUUACAAGAAAUACACGAAAGGAAUAGGAAAUACAAUCCACUCCUCAAGAAAGCCCCCCAUCCUCUCCACCCCGCACAUGCCGAUGAUGCAUCAACAUUGUUGUCCUCGGAGUUCUGCACCAUCACCAAAACAAUGAACUUGUAUCCAUGUACGACACCAACAAAUCAAUGAUCUUUGCUUGGAAGCGCUUACGACAUCGACCCUGAAGGAUCCACCGUCCGAAAGAAGAUGAUGUUGAGUUGAUCACACCUAUACGCCCGUCCGAGUCAGUGGAAUACCAAAAUUAGGGCUGCUGGAGGUAAAUCACCAUUGGCUUGACAAAAAUGCAAUCAACUCUCUCCACAUGAUUGCGUGGACCACCGAGGGAAUGGCAAACUGAUAAUCCCCAAGUGCAAGGAAUCAUCGUAGCACUUUCCAAAGAUGGAAGUGGUAAGUAUAGAGUGUCGAACCCACAAGGAGCUAAAGGUAAUAUUAAUAUUCUCUUAAGUCAUAUCUGCCACCGAUACAACUCUACAUACACCAAACGUUUACUUCUAUCUAGUAACGAGAAAUAAAACUGCGUUGUGGGUAUAAAGAGAAUAGUUUUGCAUGAUAUUGGAGAACUAAAAUAUGAAAAUAGUUGAUGCACUAACUAAAGUAAGAACAUAUUGGAGAACAAAUAGGAGUGUGGAGUAAUGAUGGUAAGGUGUGCGGAAUUAUCCUAGGCAAUUGAUAACAAGAUCGAUAAUAAUUCUUGCAAUUUUAUAUUAGGGGGAGGCAUGAGGUAACAUACUUUCCUUACUUGGAUCAUAUGAACUUAUGAUUGGAUCUCUAACAAGCAUCCGCAACUACUAUAAAUUACUAAGGUAAACCCAACCAUGGCAUUAAACAUCAAGUCCUCUUUACUCCCAUACGUGAACAACCUCCUUACUUGGGUGUAAGCUUCUGUCACUCUAGCCACCUAGUAUAAACGAAUCAUGACAUAUUGCAACACCAUCCAGCGUGAAUCAUUCAAAUGUGCGCCUCACAGAACGCACCUUAAGACAACACCAAAAUAAAACAUACACUCAAAUCAAUCAAGAUCAUUAAUCAAUCCAAAAGACAACAUAGAUAUACUCAAACAUCAUAGAAUGGCAACACACCACUGAUUAAUAAUUUAUGGCAUGAAACACCAUGUUCAAAGAGGGGAUUAUAGUGGGGUGUGGGAUAAUAGACUGCUGAAAAGAGAUGAGGAAGGUGAUGAAUACGGCGGUGUUGAUGAAGACGGCCACUACGGCGAUGGCUCCCUCGACAGCACGCUGGUGCCACCCGAAGAGAGGGGGGAGAGUCUCUCCCCUUAGGCUUCCUCCUCCAUGGCCUCUCCCCGUCUAGGGAGAGGUUCUCCCUCUCGUCCUUGGCCGCUAUGGCUCCCGAAGGGGCGAGAGACACUCCAAGAUUGGGUCUCUCUCUCUCUCUCACUCCUAUUUUCGUUGUUGUUUUCUGACCAUUCAUCGUUUCUUAAAUACCCGGAGAUCCAUAACUCCGAUCGGUCGGAAAUUUUGAGGUGAAUUUUAUCGCGAAAAUAUCUUUCUUGUGGCGGAAGGAGAGCCUCAACCGACUUAAGGGCAGGCCACAAGCCAUUAGGGCAUGCCCACCCCCUGGUCGCAUCCUGUUGGCUUGUGAGAAUCUCGGGCAUCGUGCGGCGUUGAUUCUUUUUCUCAAUAUUCACAUAUAUUCUAAAAAAUAUCUCCGUAAAUUUUUAUUGCGUUUGGAGUCUGUUUGAUAAGGAUUUUCCGCAAAACACACACAAAAAAGAAGCGACACUAGGUAGUGGAUAAGUAAGUUAGCCCAAAAAAUAAUAUAAAACAUUGUCAAAAUUAUAUGAAAAUUGUAAAAUAUUGACAUGAAUACUUCUUAAAUUAUUGACACGUUGAAGACGUAUCACAAACCUAUCCACCCAAUCCUAUCACUAGAUUCAAUGUUGCACGCACCGCCGAAGCCGAAGAAGAAGAUGAAAAAGAACUUAUUGUGAAGUGACAUCGUCACCACUACUGCUAGAAGGCCCCGAAACGAUGGGCAUCGGAGACUUACCUGUCCAUACGAUCUCAUCUAGGGUUAUAGCGUCUCAUGUGUCGUUAGAGCCAUAGAAGAAGCCAAAGGAGCCAUUAGAGCAUCUAUAGCCGGCGUCGCGGAUAUCCGGCAAAGCCCGACAAGGACGAGCGGCUCCUCGCUUGGGUCUAACGCCGGUCUCUUAUGACGACGGAUACGGACGCUCGACGACUCCGUCAGAAGAACGCCAAAGCGCUCCGGCUUGUCAUCGAACAGUCUAAGCGUGACACCAUGGAGAAAGCGAGAGAGGCGGCUCGGCUGGCGAAGCUCAAGCGGCAACAAGAUCAGGCCUUCCGACGGCUCAAAGGGCUCAUCAUCCUCUCCUCCUCCGACGGCGAGCACGGUGCGUCGUCCGACGAUUCGUACGAUCCUCCAUCGACGCAUACAGCUACGACAUCGACUACAAGGGGAAAAGGCCGACGAGGAUGUGGUGAAUCUCCGUCGUCUUCUAGUUAAUUUCUUGUUUUUUUGUGUCUCUAGUUAGAACAUGUCUGAAAUAUGUGGAUUAUGUAACCUUUGUGUAGCUUUUGAAGAUCCAUCUGUGAUCUUUUAAUGAUCAAAAUUUGCAUAUCUAUCUCUGCUUCAUAGUUCGUUUAACGAUCUAUGCAGUUUAUCUUCACGUUACAUAGGUUGUAUGGAUAUAGGAUGUUCAAUAUAAAAAAUACAGAUAUGAUAGACAUAAUUUAAGACGUAUCCGAUGAAUACCAGCGGACACGCCCCGACACAUCCACAGAUAUUUGAGGGUCGGGAUUUACCAAACACAUGCUCUUACUAAGCAUUAACACCACUGUCGCAGAAAGGGUGGAAGAGACGGGCAACGAGACCUACAAAAGAACCCCGGAACCAUAGAAAAUCUAAAUAUCCCGCCGACAGAUCAAGGCCUCUUCGUAGUCCUUCACCGACGGAGCCGACGGAGGAGGAGGAAGCCGAUGACGAGAUGUGACGGCCGGACAAACCUAGAUUGGCCUAGGUAGGCGGCGGCUGCGCAGGCUACGGUUUAACCGGCUGUCCUGUCCGCAAGACCAGUUUUUUGUACUAUGCACAGGUAUUCCAAUCGGGACAUUGUUUGGUUGCGCAAGUGACUACGAGAUGAAUGCCCACAUUCCAUGGAUCAAACAACGGAUUCUUUACGUUGGAGGAGACACAGGCACACAACAAUAGUCUGCUAUUGCGUUCCCGAGGCUCGUAGGCGCCGGUGCUGACUGAUUGAAUGCUGUUGUGUUUUUAUGUGCGCAUAUAGGCAGUCCGUGGAGGCCAUGGACGAUCGAUCAAUCUGAUCGGUAGAAAUGUAAAAUGAGCAUUCUUAUAUUUCUGACGGACGGGACAUCGUCAGAAAAGAACAUACACCAUCUGAUCCAAAUAAUUGUGAAAUUGUCGCUGUAUAAUAUUUUUCAUUGAUCGUUUCAUUUUUUUUAAAAGUUAGAGCAUCUAUAACGAACAUCUCAAAUCCGUCUCACACGAAAAAAUGAUUCAUUUGGAUGCCUCAACCCGUCUCAAACACCUAGGCUGUUCAACGCGCCCUCAUAUCCAAUCAAAACGUAGGGUUGAUAUGGAACGGCGAGGGCACGUCCGGACGCGCCCUAGCUCACUCUCGCUCUCCUCUCUUGCUAUGUUCGUUCAUCUUUCCUCUUUGAUUCCUAUUGAAUCGGGCAAGAUGUCGAGAUCCGACAGCCACUCCAGCUCCGACCUCAACUAUUACGAGGGGUUUUCCCUUCGGAUUGCCUUGGAGCGGUCCAGGGUAGAGAUUGGGGGCAGCUCCAGAUCUACAUCCUCGACGCUCCCGUGCUGGUGCAACGCGAACGUCGGAGAUGGCCCCUCCCGUCCCGCUCGCAGCUUCGCCACGACAUCAUAGUCCAUUCCACCCCGCGUCGUCCCGUUCCCCCGUCGGACGCUGCUCCGUGCGGGCAGCACUGGGUGCUAGUGCAUGUGCCGCCCACCACGAGAGGCAGCUGGCAAGGGAGAGGGACGCGACAGAGCAUUCUGUGCGUCGUCCCCGCACGUAGCCGACGGAGCCCGACAAGGACGAGCGACUCCUCGUUUGGAUGUACCACCGUUCGUUUUCGACGGUGGUGACAGAAGCUCGUCGCCUAUGGCGAAAGAACACAAAGGUGCUCUCGCUUCCUAUUGAGUAGUCGGAGCAUGAAGCGAGGGAGGCGAUUCGAGUCACCAAGUUGAAGCGGCGGCAAGACAGGGUUGUCCGCGGGAUGAAGGGUUGAUCGUCCUCUCCGAUUUCUCAUCGGACGAAGGCGACAAACACAACUCUGCCUCCUCCAACGACGACCAAGAUCCUACAACAGCCGCGGAUGCCUACAACUGCAGCAACGAUCGAAAGGACAAAGGCCCAACACGAGAGUAGUGAAGACGCUCCUCCUUCUACGUUUAUUAUAGUUUUUACUUGUUGAAGUUAAGAACUUGUCUCGCAACGAACUCCGAUGAUCUUUUGGAUGAUGUACAGUUUGUUUAUGUGCAUUUGGUUAUCUGUUUGAUGCUGAUUUCUUUGUCCAUGGUUUGAUCACGUAGAAUAGCUCAUUAUGUGCAUUUGGUUAUGUGUUUGAUGCUGAUUUCUUUGUCUAUGGUUUGAUCACGUAGAAUAGCUCAUUACGUUGCAUAUGUAGCAUGAAUAUAGGAUGCCAGAUAUGAGACACACACAAGUAGAGAGAGAAAUUUAAGACGUGAAAACGCCCGACGCGUCCGUGGGCAUUUGAGGAGCUGAAUUAGCGCAGUAGAUACUCUUAGAGCAACUCUAUCAGACCCAUAAAAUCUCGCGACUCAUCAAAUUCCGACGAGUACACGACUUUGACCCGGUUUUUUGUCAGAUCAGACCCCGUAUACUCGGUCCGCCCAUAAACUUUUUAUAGCGGCCUGCAAACGCACCCCUCCGCGCAGUAUAUAUUUGGGUCCGCGAGGUUGAUACAGGUCGAAACCCUAUCCCCCGCCGUUUUGAUUCACCAUUCCCGCCGAAACCAACCGCGUGCUUGAGUCGCCGCCGUCGCUCCUCCGUUGCAAGACGGUGAAAUAGGACCGCGUGUGGGCGCGAUUCUUUUCUGACGUUGGCAGCUCCGCCGUCGUGGGCAACUUCGUCGGGCGUUGAGCUCCCGUUCUUCGCUCACCCGGAUGAAAAGUGAGUCGGACGAGCUCCCCUCCCCCCCGGCGUGCUCCACGUGGUCAAGAGUGAGCCGAACGAGCUCCCCCUUUCCCUCCUCUCCACACAGUCAAGAGUGAGUCGGAGGCGGACGCGGAGCCAGAGCAGCAAGGCGAUGACAUCGUCGGGCCGGAGGACUCCCCCCCCCCAGACGGAGGUGGAUCCCAUCGAGUCUGCCAUUUCCGCACGUUGUGCAUCGAAGAAGGAAGAGGAGGCGCAGUGCCGUCGACGGGUGGACGAAACCGAUGCCAUGCUCUACAAGUAGGUGCUCGUGAAGGCACACGUGUUCAACGAGGAGGAGGAGUGGCGCCGCGGGGCCAUAGCGCAGGAGGAGAUGUACAUCGACCUCACCUUCGACGAGGAUUGAGCACCGUUGCUGGGCUCCGAUGUAGCCCGUUUUGGUCACCUACCGCACCCGUUGGGCUCCGAUGAGCUCCAUUUUGGUCAUCUUAGGGUAGGGUAGGGUAGGCAUCCCAUAAGCUAUGCAUGUAUAAAACUUCCGCAUGUAUGAAUGAUCAUCCGACUCGUUUAUUUCUCACGCGAAACAAGUUUUUCAAAAUUUACAUUUCAAUUAAGGUUUCUGUUCUGCCGCACAGGUUUUGAACCCAUAUAUGACAUCUCACGCAAACUGUAAACCCCUUAUAAGGACUAACCUUAUAAGGGGUUUGCAAGAGUUGCUCUUAGACUGCUCGAUAAGCCGUCACCAGUCGAUUUCGACCUGCUCCGCCCUGCUCCUUGAACCAUGUUGAGACAGAUACAACAAAUAUACGGGUCGACUUCUCUACUUGAGAGCACCCACAAUGUGAGUAUAUGCUUCCUCUAAGAGCAUCUAGAGCUAGACCCCUCAAAUGAUCCCUCAUAUGUCCGCGGACGCAUCCGGUCAGUGAGCGGACAUGAGAGAGAAGGAAAAAAAUUAACCAACCGGACCCCUUAUAUCGUCCCUAUAUGUCGGGUCUGUCCGCGAACCCUCAUAUCCAUCUCAGAUAUGGGAAGGAUACAAGGGCUCGUAGAGGCGCCCGGACGCGCCCGGUCAGUCCGUCACAUAGGACGCGACUGCAUUUCGGACCACCUUUUUCUUUUCUUUAUUCAUUAUUUUCUUUCUCUCUCUUCUUCUCCAUCACUUACAUGCAAGUGACCGAACAUAUGAGGAAAAAAAGUGUGGUUGCGUAGAGGGACAAAUAGAAGACACGCCCGGUCACUCACCGGACGCGUCAACUCGCAUAGGAGGAUCCGAAAUUGCAAGUCUUGUCUAUAGAUGCUCUAAGGCCGUCCCUAAGCUUUUAAAGGUUGCCUCUAUACAUUGCAUGCACUGUGUUUAACCUAAAAUUUCUAGCGUCGUCUCUAAACUUACAGGUUGCCUCUUAACUUUUUCUAACCAAUAAAGAAUAGCCCAUGCUCAAUGUAAGAUGCCUUUUUCUAGCUUCUACACGCCAUAUGGAAGGUAAAAUAAUGUAUUUUGUAAUUGGGGAUGUUCUCCAUUAUAGAGGCAGCAAGCAUUCAACACACCGCGGCUGUUCGAAGGAUGUUUAGAGGCGGACCGUGUGCCCUAGCUUAGAGGCGGGCCUGCCUCGAAGAAAACAUAGAUGCCACAUAAACGAAAAAUAUGUUAUGGUAGCUAAUUAAUAAAAAAAAGAGAGGAAUUGAAUAACAUAGCUAGUUAUUUGUAGUUUACUAUGAGUGACAUCACAUACAUCAAGACAAGAUAAGUUUAUAAGUUAAUAUAUGAAAGGCUCAAUGUUACUACCCCUAUAUUAGUACCCAUUGGAACGGUGACUCUUGAUCUGGAGACAUCUAAAGGAGAGAGAGGCCCCCACUAGGGCGGCUCAGGUGGAAACCCUAAACCGCACCGUCGGGAGCCUCCAUCCCUAUCCUUCUCUCCGUCGCCGCUGGAGGAAGCCGUCGGGAAAAGCCCCGGACGAUCGGCGACGGUGGAGGAGGAUCUCUUCCUUCCCACGUCGAAUCGGGUGAGGUGAUCACCCCAUGGCGCCGGGGCGCUUCUUCCCGAUCCGCGUAGUCGUGGCGCGAUGGAUCGCCUCCGGCGACGGUGCAAGAUGGCAACAUGGUGUUGGGCGGAGGCGACAGAGCUGCAGGGCGUCGUGGAAGAUCGGGUGGUGAUGGACGCUCGGCGAGUUCGUGUGGUCAAGGCGACAUUGGUCAUGGUGGACGGUAGCAGCGGCGAUGUUCGACCUCGAUCCCGAGGCGGCGACCGUGGAAGGUGGCGGCAUGUGAAACUCGGGCUUACCGUGACGACAUGGCGUGGUGAAGCCCCUGUCCAAGGCGGAUCUGUGCCGACGAUCUAGUGGUUUUUUUGCUACAGAUUGGUUCAGAUCAGAGACGGUGAUGAGCGCACGGGAUCUAUCUCGGCGGCUCUGGCAGUUUGGCGAGGUGGGGUAGGAGCCCUUCUCCCAGGCACCAGUGGUGGCACACUCAAGCAGUGACCGGUGCGCCAGGGCUCCUACGAUGGCAGUGCUGUCAUGGAUGGUCGCCAGAUCUAAGAGGCUAGAUCUGGGGUUUUGAAAGCGGUCGGGACGAUGCAUAGGUUUUCGCGUGGAUUUCUUUGUGAUGGAUCCGGGUGAAAACCUGGUCUUCGGCCGGUGGCCGGAGCCGAUGAUGACGAUGCCCUUAUCGUCGUUUCCUUCAUGAAGGGAACAUCGAGGUGAAGCUCCCAGCUCCACCCAAUACCUUUAGGGGGAAUCCUAGAUCAGCAGAUCGGAUGACGACAACACUCUUGUGUCGUUUCCCCCUUGGGGUGUCAUUCUUGGAGGUGUACUGGGGCUCGAGGAAUAAGUGGAUGAUAUCUUUGGUGGAGCGGUGCUUCAUCCUACAUAUUGAUGGCGGUGGAUCUCGACGGCGUGGAGCAGUGGAGGCUUGGCGUCCGGUGUGUGGCGAUGAGCUCGAGCAGGAGGAUGACGUUGUCUAGCGUCAUGGUGGAGUCGAUAACAGAGAGGCAUGGCAAGGUCGAUGCGUCGGUAGAUGCUUUGAGGAUGGAUUGACGGAAGACGACGGUGACGACCCUUGUAGCAUGUAUGUUGAUGCUCACUAGGAGUGUACCGGACCGAUGUGUCACCCAGUCCCGACGUUGUGGCUUGUAUGGGGCAUCCGUCUUUAGAUGUUAAGCUUUGUUGCGAUGUGUGUUUGGUAUUUGAUCCGGACAUUCGGUAUCCCUUCAUCAAAAGGAUAGAAGUAGCGACAUGUGUUAUCAAGAUGAUGACUUCAAACUUACUAAUGUAUUAUUUUAAAAGGUCUUGAUGAAUAAUUAAUAAAAUGACUAGCUAUCCACAUGCACAGACCAGGGAAACAUCCUCCUUUAAAAAAAUGUUAAUAUCUAUUAUGAAAAUAAUAAUUUAAAUUAAUAAGAGAUGUAUAUUACUACUGUAUGUUACUCCCUCCGUUUCUAAAUAUAAGUCUUUCUAGAUGUUUCACUAGUAGACUGCAUAUGGAUGUAUAUAGACAUAAUUUAGAGUGUAGAUUCAAUCAUUUUGCUUCGUAUGUAGACCCUUAGUAAAAUUGCUUAAAAGACUUAUAUUUAGGAACGGAAGGAGGAGUAUUUUUCAUUAUGAAUAGUCUACCGCACUACUGAUUGAUCAAUUACUGGAGUGCGUAAGAUCAGUGAGGCGACGAAUAAAAGGGUGAUGAUGGGCGGUACGUACAUGUGCGGAGAGGACAAGCAACGGGGUAACACGUCGGCUCGAUGUGGCAGCUAAUAAUUACACUCGGUCGGACUUUCCUCUAGCUAGGCGGCCAUGAUUGUGUGCUGAUUGAUUGUCACUGCAUGAUUAAUUGUCUAUCUACUAUAGUCUACUACUGUCUCAGACUCUCAGCCUGUCUUUUCUAUUUUCGCUUGUUCGAGUCUGCUGGAUUCGCAUUAUUUACGGCACGUGCGGCUGUGAUCUUCCCGUGACUGCGCCGGAAAUACCAGUCGUUGCUUUCUAGCCACACGACCGAUGCGGCCGUCAUGCAUGUGAGUAUGUGAGCCUUUAGCGUUGUGACCCUUCAACGGACGCAACAGGUAACACCUGUGACUGAUUCACUGCUUCUCAGAAGUCAGAACCAACAAGUACUACUACUAGUAGGUGGCUAGCUAGCGUGUCCCGCUGAUGAGGUACUACUACAAGUAUACGAGAGGAGAUACGUACGUGACACGUCUCUCCCUCUCUCUGGAUGUUGCGUGGCUGAGGCUGGUCAGUGUCGGAUCGGACGGACCGGGCGGAAACGUCCGACCGAUCGAGUCGCGCCUUUGCGGAUUGCCGUAGCUUCGAAACAGAUCCCCGUCCUCAAGUUGCUGUUUUGGUGACAGAUCAAGUUGGGCAAGACGACGUAGGGAUCGACCGAACGAGUCAUUUCCCAUGAGUGUGACCAGGCGGGUCGAUGAUGCGAUGCACCUGGCUUGUGGAAGGAGCACGCGGCCGGCGCUGUAACUGGGAUUUGAUUUGAACACGGCAGCUGUUUUCGCACGUGAAUCCAUUCUUUCCGACGUGUGAAUUUGGAACAUUUUCGUUUGAACGAUUCCGAAUAUUUAUUUAUUUAAUUAGAAAAAACUAUAUUGGUUCUGGUAAAACAGCCGGUUGUUAUACAACUUACUCCCUUCAUUUUUACAUAUAAGAACAUUAUUAAAAUUAUAAUUUACACAUAAGGUCAGUAGUAACAUUAAUCGAUUCAAUAUUAAUGAUGUUUGCCUUGUAAUACUAAUGAAUAAGCAUAUUAAUUAUUUUUUACAUGCAUGCGAGAGUGAGAGGGUGCUUGAAUACGUUUUAGUCCCAUGACUAAAAGUAAUAAGACUAAAACUUGCUAGCCUCAUCCAUGAUUGGAUUCAAGUACUAAGGGCAUCUUCAAUGGUUGUAAGAUAGUUGUUGGUAAUUUUGACACAUAAGAUUUUUGAUGAUGUGUCAAGCAAUAAAUGAGGAAAGAGAGGAAUGUUGUAUGUAAAUUAACCAACACCUUUGCACAAGCUCCAAUGUAGAAUGAGAGAGCACCUUAUUUAUUACCUUACAUCUUAUUGAGCAAACUAGAUACUACCCAUUGGAGUAGUUGUAUGUUAAGGUGUUGGUUGAUGACAUGGCAUAUUUUACCAACAAGCUAACCAACAUACUAUUGGAGAUGC